rnacentral:tRNA from 1 species
UAGCUCAGUUGGUUAGAGCAUUGUUCUGAAACGCCAAUGUUGAGGGUUCGAUCCCCAC